UUCUGAUCGAACCACUCUUACGUGUCAUGUUCUGAUUGGAUAUCAAUUCUAUGUAUGGAUAUUGUUGUUGUCAUUGGUCAAUCAAAAUAUGACACGUGACGGUCAACAUUU
rfam:Glycine soja cultivar W05 scaffold599_24, whole genome shotgun sequence.